rnacentral:rRNA from 1 species
GACGAACGCUGGCGGCGUGCUUAACCCAUGCAAGUCGAGCGGAGCGGAGAACGGUGGCGUAACGCGUGAGUAACUGCCCCCGUCUCUGGGAUAACAGUUGGAAACGGCUGCUGAUACCGGAUAGUGGGGAAUGACUAUCGUCCUAUGAGCUUGUUGGUGGGGUAGUGGCCUACCAAGGCGCCGACGGGUAGCCGGCCUGUGAGGGAGCCCGGCCACAUGGGGCUGAGAUCCUGCCCAAACUCCAGCGGCAUACAUCAGUGGGGAAGAUUUUCCAAUGGGGGAAACCGUGAUGCAGAAACGCGCGUGUGGGAUGACGGCCUUCGGUUUGUAAACCGCUGUCAGCCAUGACGCGUUAUUCGCAUAAGAAGCACCGGCUAACUACGUGCCAGCCGCCGCGGUAAUAC